rnacentral:rRNA from 1 species
GACGAACGCUGGCGGCGUGCCUAAUACAUGCAAGUAGAACGCUGAAGGAGGAGCUUGCUUCUCUGGAUGAGUUGCGAACGGGUGAGUAACGCGUAGGUAACCUGCCUGGUAGCGGGGGAUAACUAUUGGAAACGAUAGCUAAUACCGCAUAAUAGUAGAUGUUGCAUGACAUUUUCUUAAAAGGUGCAAUUGCAUCACUACCAGAUGGACCUGCGUUGUAUUAGCUAGUUGGUGGGGUAACGGCUCACCAAGGCGACGAUACAUAGCCGACCUGAGAGGGUGAUCGGCCACACUGGGACUGAGACAAGGCCCAGACUACUACGGGAGGCAGCAGUAGGGAAUCUUAGGAAAUGGACGGAAGUCUGACCGAGCAAAGCCGCGUGAGUGAAGAAGGUUUUCGGAUCGUAAAGCUCUGUUGUAAGAGAAGAAAGAGUGUGAGAGUGGAAAGUUCACACUGUGACGGUAUCUUAACAGAAAGGGACGGCUAACUACGUG